GCCUGGGUGGCUCAGUCGGUUAAGCAUCUGACUUCACUUCAGGUCGUGAUCUCGCGGUCUGUGGGUUCAAGCCCCAUGUCGGGCU
rnacentral:tRNA from 1 species